GGACCAUCUGCUGGCAGCGGCAACCAUGGUGGGCAGAGGCCAAACUGAAGCAGCCACAUCCUGAUAGGGCUGCUUCCAGGAUGAGCCAGUGACACGUCCUUGAGAGCAGGUAUCAGCUGUGAUCAAGAGAAGCUGGUUUCUUCAGAGGAGGAUGCUGUGUGUGAGGUACGAGAGAGGAAAGAGCCCUUGAUCCAGCUGGACAACCCCAGAGAC
rnacentral:lncRNA from 1 species